AUGGAGUAACAAGAUAUGUGAAAUCAGAAGAAGUCACAUGCAAGGACCUCCUGUCAAAAUUGGCCAGCUGUCCCUUCAAUGAACAAGCAGAUCAACAUAAGAAAACCAAUUGUUUUAUCGAGGUCUACAACGAAGUCUCUCCAAAUGUUAAACUACAACGUUUAAUGAUAUUCAACUGUAUAACAGGUUGAGAAAAUGAGUCUGGCUGGAAGAUUACAUUUCAAUGACAUACCUUGCUUCUAGUUCUUCAACUCUCAAAUGGAUUCACCCUACUCUCUCAGUAUCAGGAAUCUGAGAGAUAACCGUGAUUCAGUCCAGUUAUGCACAGCUGAGCAAUUGUCUUUUUUUUUUCUUUUCACACACUUCUUUCAUAUGAACCAUUGUAAGCCUCUCAUGACCAGUCUAUGCUUUUCUCAAUUAAAAUAUGGCCAUUCCCUUGA